AGCAAAUUAGUUAAGAAGAAGAGAAUAAAAACCUGACUCUACGACAGCAGAAGGGCAGAGCAGCAGAUGGAGAAACUCAAGCUGACAAAUGGCUCACCUGAUAGGCACUUUGAAAGUGGCAGAAAAUGGGGACCCUAUCCAAAACUUUAAUCUCUACACAAUAUUGUUUCCCUUAAUAUAUUGAUGUGAGUAUUCAAAUCUGGGAAGACACAGAUACUAAAGAGAAGAUUAUUUCACUGAGGAGGAGGUUUAUAUCCAAGGAGACUCUUUCAUACCUUCAGGAUCUGGAAAGGGGAAAAAGCAAGUCACAGAACAAGGUCUCAUUCACUGGUGCUUGGUUAGUGUCUGCACAGGAGAACACAGAGCUGAACAGCAAUCAGUUGAGAAUUGUUGCAUCUGCCCAGAGGAGGGGAAAAUGGGGAGAAUG